UUUAAAUGGCCGCAGUAUACUAACUGUGCAAAGGUAGCAUAAUCAUUAGUCUUUUAAUUGAAGGCUGGUAUGAAUGGUUGGACGAGAUAUUAACUGUUUCAUAAAAAUUUAAAUUAGAAUUUUAUUUUUUAGUCAAAAAGCUAAAAUAUAUUUAAAAGACGAGAAGACCCUAUAAAUCUUUAUAUUUAAAUUAUUAUAAUUGUGAAGAUAUAUUUUGUUAUAUUAAUUAAUAAUAUUUUAUUGGGGUGAUAUUAAAAUUUAAUAAACUUUUAUUUAUUUUAAUCAUUAAUUUAUGAAUAAUUGAUCCGUUAAUAACGAUUAAAAAACUAAGUUACUUUAGGGAUAACAGCGUAAUUUUUUUGGAGAGUUCAUAUCGAUAAAAAAGAUUGCGACCUCGAUGUUGGAUUAAGAAAUAAUUUUAGGUGUAGCCGCUUAAAUGUUAAGUCUGUUCGACUUUUAA
rnacentral:rRNA from 1 species